GAUGAACGCUAGCGGCAGGCUUAAUACAUGCAAGUCGAGGGGCAGCAUGGGUGUAGCAAUACAUCUGAUGGCGACCGGCAAACGGGUGCGGAACACGUACACAACCUUCCUUUAAGUGGGGAAUAGCCCGGGGAAACCCGGAUUAAUACCCCGUAACAUUAUGAUGUGGCAUCACAUUAUAAUUAUAGCUCCGGCGCUUAAUGACGGGUGUGCGACUGAUUAGGAGUUGGCGGGGUAACGGCCCACCAAGCCUGCGAUCAGUAACUGGUGUGAGAGCACGACCAGUCACACGGGCACUGAGACACGGGCCCGACUCCUACGGGAGGCAGCAGUAAGGAAUAUUGGGCAAUGGACGCAAGUCUGACCCAGCCAUGCCGCGUGGAGGAUGAAGGUCCUCUGGAUUGUUAAACUUCUUUUAUAUGGGACGAAAAAGGCCUUUCCAGGUCAACUGACGGUACCAUAUGAAUAAGCACCGGCUAACUCCGU
rnacentral:rRNA from 1 species